UACGUAGGUGGCAAGCGUUGUCCGGAUUUACUGGGCGCAAAGAGCGCGCAGGCGGUCGAUCAAGUCGCGUGUGAAAGCCCCCGGCUCAACUGGGGAGGGUCACGCGAUACUGAUCGACUCGAAGGCAGGAGAGGGUAGUGGAAUUCACGGUGUAGUGGUGAAAUGCGUAGAUAUCGGGAGGAACACCAGUGGCGAAGGCGACUACCUGGCCUGUUCUUGACGCUGAGGCGCGAAAGCUAGGGGAGCAAACGGG
rnacentral:rRNA from 1 species